rnacentral:rRNA from 1 species
AGCUCCAAUAGCGUAUAUUAAAGUUGUUGCGGUUAAAAAGCUCGUAGUUGGAUUUCUGUCAGGGGCAGCCGGUCCGCACUUUGUGCGUGUAUCUGGUUUGGUCUUGGCAUCCUCUUGGGGAUUGUUUCUGUGCUUAGUUGCAUGGGACGAAAUUCAAGACUUUUACUUUGAGGAAAUUAGAGUGUUCACGGCAAGCUUUCGCUUUGAAUACAUUAGCAUGGAAUAAUAAUAUAGGGCGUGAGUCUUAUUUUGUUGGUUUCUAGGACAUACGCAAUGAUUAAUAGGGACAAUUGGGGGCAUUCGUAUUAACGCGUCAGAGGUGGAAUUCUUAGAUUGCGUUACGACGAACUACUGCGAAAGCAUUUGCCAAGGAUGUUUUCA